rnacentral:rRNA from 1 species
UCGGGAAUUUUGGGCAAUGGGCGAAAGCCUGACCCAGCAACGCCGCGUGAAGGAUGAAGUAUUUCGGUAUGUAAACUUCGUAAGAAUAGGAAGAAUAAAUGACGGUACUAUUUAUAAGGUCCGGCUAACUACGUGCCAGCAGCCGCGGUAAUACGUAGGGACCAAGCGUUGUUCGGAUUUACUGGGCGUAAAGGGCGCGUAGGCGGCAUGACAAGUCACUUGUGAAAUCUCUGGGCUUAACCCAGAACGGCCAAGUGAUACUGUCGCGCUAGAGUGCAGAAGGGGCAAUCGGAAUUCUUGGUGUAGCGGUGAAAUGCGUAGAUAUCAAGAGGAACACCUGAGGUGAAGACGGGUUGCUGGGCUGACACUGACGCUGAGGCGCGAAAGCCAGGGGAGCAAACGGGAUUAGAUACCCACGUAGUCCCUGAGCGGGCUGGCAAGGCGCAU